rnacentral:rRNA from 1 species
UACGUAGGUGGCGAGCGUUGUCCGGAAUUACUGGGCGUAAAGGGCGUGUAGGCGGCUUUUUAAGUCAGACGUGAAAUCCCUGGGCUUAACCCAGGACCUGCGUUUGAAACUGGAAGGCUUGAGGACCGGAGAGGGUAGUGGAAUUCCCAGUGUAGCGGUGAAAUGCGUAGAUAUUGGGAGGAACACCAGUGGCGAAGGCGACUGCCUGGACGGCACCUGACGCUGAGGCGCGAAAGCCAGGGGAGCAAACGGGAUUAGAUACCCCGGUAGUCCUGGCUGUAAACGAUGGGUACUAGGUGUGGGAGGUAUCGACCCCUUCCGUGCCGCAGUUAACACAAUAAGUACCCCGCCUGGGGAGUACGGCCGCAAGGUUGAA